rnacentral:rRNA from 1 species
GUGUCAGCAGCCGCGGUAAGACGUAGGGCGCGAGCGUUGUCCGGAUUUAUUGGGCGUAAAGAGCGCGUAGGCGGUCCGGUAAGUCCGCUCUGAAAGUCCGGGGCUCAACCCCGUGAGGCGGGCGGAUACUGCCGGGCUAGAGUCCGGAAGAGGCGAGUGGAAUUCCUGGUGUAGCGGUGAAAUGCGCAGAUAUCGGGAGGAACACCGGUGGCGAAGGCGGUUCUCUGGGCCUGUUCUGACGCUGAGGAGCGAAAGCGUGGGGAGCGAACAGGAUUAGAUACCCUUGUAGUCC